rnacentral:rRNA from 1 species
CCCCUAGAUGUUCUGGGCCGCACGCGCGCUACACUGAACAGUUCAACAAGUCUUAACCUUGGCCGAUAGGUCUGGGUAAUCUUUGAACGCUGUUCGUGAUUGGGAUAGACCUUUGCAAUUAUGGGUCUUCAACGAGGAAUUCCUAGUAAACGCAAGUCAUCAGCUUGCAUUGAUUACGUCCCUGCCCUUUGUACACACCGCCCGUCGCUCCUACCGAUUGAGUGGUCCGGUGAGGCCUUGGGAGGGCUAAGUAGACUGUGUUUUCAUGGACUACCUGGCCCGAACCUGGUCAAACCUUAUCACUUAGAGGAAGGAGAAGUCGUAACA